UACAGAGGCCUCGAGCGUUAGGCGGAAUCACUGGGCUUAAAGCGUGUGUAGGCGGACUUCUAAGUACCUUGUGAAAUCCACAGCUUAACUGUGGAACUGCUUGGUAUACUGGUUGUCUUGAGGUACCUAGGGGCGAGCGGAACAAGUGGUGGAGCGGUGAAAUGCGUAGAUAUCACUUGGAACGCCAACGGUGAAAACAGCUCGCUGGGGGUAUCCUGACGCUGAGACGACGAAAGCCAGGGGAGCAAAGCGGG
rnacentral:rRNA from 1 species